AUUUAUUUGAUAAAUAUUCUUACCAUAACUUUAUUGUUAGAUCCAAUUCUCACUAUUAACUAAAUAUAUAGUUCAUUGAUGAAACUCUAGAUGGCGCAGACAAUGGGUUAUUAACAUAAACAGUGAUAUUCAGAGAGUUAAAGACUAGGCACAAGUGAUUGGUUCAUGCUGCAUAUGCAGCCAAUGAGCUUACUGCCUUUCAUUUAUAGAUUCCUGCAGCGCACUUUCAGAGUUUCUCUGAAACCCUCAACCUUCCCCAGCUUCACCCUUGUUUAGAUCUACUAUGGGUUAUUUUAUAUGCUAUUUGUGCAGAAGCAGUAUGUCUUAAAUGCUCAUGGCACUGUAUCGCCAUUUGCAUUGGCAGGAACAAGUCCCUGGACUUUCUUGCAGCAGCAGCAGCAGUAAUCUACAACUACAUCAAUACACUGAAAAAAAGGAAAAGCAGUUUUACUGAAUUUACUAAAAGGAUACACUUACAAUCUACUUAAUACAUUUAUGUUUAAGAUGGAAACAUAAUUGUAUUGUUUUAAUUCUAAAUGAAAUUCAACAUAAUCAUCAAAACAUGAUAUAAUCACUUUGCAAGAAAAUGUUCAAAUUGUUUCAGAUGUCAAACAAAUGGUGUUCAUGUAAAAUGAUUUUUUUCUGCUGUUUGAUUUAUUUAAUUAAAAUAGGCCCAUGUCACACAAUUACUUUGUAUUUUCUUCUCAACUUAAUUCCAUUGUGUAGGCUAUAAUUAAUUUAAUUCAGGUUUGUGAAAUACGUCGUUUGCGCGGGAGCAACGCGCGCGAGAGCGUCUGCGCAUGCGCUUUGAAAUCCAGACCACACCAGGACCGUUGGUUUGGAAAGGACACAUGAGGGUACUGCCUGUCUUGUUUUCAGAGCUCGUUAAAAGUGACAUUUGCUGUACAUUUGGAAUUCCAAAGCCUGUUCAGACAAAUUACGAGCUAAGUCAGUCCCCAACAAAGGCAGUUAGCCUUGUAGAAGUCGGUGAAUUAACUGAUGAAUACCCCUUGGCUGACUAUUUGAUUGGACAUGUGCAGAUGGUAACGUUAAAGAGAUUUUUCUGCUGCAAAGGAUGACAUUGAUGCAGCUUGUGAACUUGCCAUCAGAGGACUGUGUAUCUAUCUUAAUGAGGACUCUAAAGAUCUCAUUCAGGAGUAUGCGGACAUGGAAGAAGAUCUUUUACAGUGUGCGAUUGAGAAGACUACCAUGGGCAUCUUCGUGAUAAAGCACACUGCAGACAAUGAAGCCCAUGAUGUAGGCAUUGUGCUAGAGGGUGUAGCAGUGCUUCAGGACAUCGACAGUGUGGAUUUUGCAACUUCAAUGUUUUUGGUCUAAUUUAUGCUCUUAACCUGCAGUACCCCACAAAGUUGCGUUUUACAUAUGAAAUUUAGCAAAAACUCAUCAUGGACUUGGAUGCGGGUGAAUUCUCGAUCAAGGCCCAAAAUUUCAAAUCUGAACUCCACCAGUGAGAUGGACUGAUUUUUGAAUGACUACUGAGACUACAAACAAUCAACCUCGGAAAAUUUCAGCAGCCUUCAUGCAAGACCACUGCAGAGGGUAAACCGUGAUCUUGUUGUUUAGACUGUUCCCCUUUGCCUGCUCUCGUUUCUUUAUCUUUUUUUUUCUGUCUGAAUUUGGCCCUUCGUUGGACUGGCUCAGAAGUUGAUUGAUUAGAGAGCUGAAUCUAUGAAACAUGGUUGAACUAGCAUAAAUAAGAUACUUUGUUUAUAGUUUAGGUAAGGGUCAGAUACUGUAUUUUCACAUUGUUUUGUAAUGUCUAUAUAUAAUUAUCUUUGAAACUAAAGCGUUUUUCUUGAAAUAACAUUUCCAGGUAGGGCUGCACGAUAUUGGGAAAAAAUGACAUUGCGAUAUUUUAUU